UCUCUUUUUCUUUUUCCUUCUCCUCCUAUUUUUUUCCUGGCCGCCGCCGCUCGUUUUCUCCCCUUCUUCUUCCUCCUCCUACCGCUGCCUUCUUCCAUGGCCGGCACCCCCCUUCCUCCUGAGCUCGCUCCCCACGCGCGCGCCCCCUCUCUUUUCCUCUCUCCCCGCACAGCUCUGCCCCGCGCUCGCCGCCAAGCUCCUCCGGCCGCCUCCACCGCGCACGACCCCGCGUGCCGCCCCGGUGCCUCCUCCUCCCGCGACCCCCCUGGCCACGCAUGCCGCCGCCUCCCCUCGCUCCCUGCGCCUGCAGCUCCGCGAGCGCCCUGCUGCUCCCAUCACCGGCGACCACCACCGCGCGUGCCCUCCUCCCUCUGGCACCUCGCCGGCUUCGCCCCCGUCGCCGAGCCCCUCUGCGCCGGAGCCGCCUCCCCGUCGGCCGCGUCCGCCCCACGCUCCGCUCUCCCUCUCCCCACGGCCUUGCCUCGUGCGCGCCUCCUGCUCGCCCCCUCCUCUGCUCUCUGUCGCGUGCGCCGCCCGCGCCCGGCUCUGUCGCCGGCGACCGACCUCUCCCCACACCUGCCCGCGCCUCCGCCUCUGCCUGGCCGCCCGCGCGCCCCCUCUCCACAGAGCGCCGCCUCCACCUCGUCGCCGCGUCCGCCCCGCACGAUUCCUCUGCCCUGCUCCGUCAACCCCCUCGCCCCAGCCCAGCCGAGCCUCCUCCUUGGCCCAUCUUCUUCAGCCCGCAAGCCCAAGUCCAUCAGAAGCUCAGCCCACAGCCUUGCUCUUUUUCUAUUUUCUGGAAAUUGUUAAACCUUGAUGUGUGGGCCCUGCUUGUCAGUCUGUGUGUUUCUGUUUGUUGCCGCUGCCCGCUACCGUGUUGCCGCUGCUUCGCGUCGAGCCGUCUUGCUGCUGCACUUCGUCGACGCCCGCGAAAAACCACAUCGCUUUGGAGAUGAAGCCACGCGACUACAUCGCCUACGUGAACAACUACUUCGCCUAUGAGGACUACAUCGUCUACGUCGACUACUUCCUCUACAUGGCGACGCCGCACGUGUCCAAGUUUUCGAUUCCUACGACGACGACUACCCGUGUGUUCUUUCUCCAGGAUCCUUGCUCAAUUCCGGGCAAUUGAGUACUCCAGGCAAGCAGCCUUCCUUGACCUUGUUGAUUCUACCUAUUGCUUCUCCCUCAAUCUUGCAUUAAGUUACGAUCUCAGUCUGGUCAUGAUGCCUCUAGGAUUGCAUAGCUUUUAGUCAGCUCCACUUAUCGCCUUAUGUCUUGUUACUUGUCCUAAUACCUUGUCACAUGUUUGUUGUUGCCCUACAUCUUGGUCAUUAGAGGUCAUGCUUAGUUGCGAGUCUAGUGUCUUAUAUCUGAGGUUCCACAAUUGCUACAUCCACAUGCUACUUUCUGUAUUCAAAUUGCAAAUAUUAAACUGUGAUAUGAUAUUAAACCGUAACAAGGCAA